GCCCGUCUAGCUCAUUCGGUGGAGCGCAAGACUCUUAAUAUUGUGGUCGUGGUUUCGAGCCCUACGGUUGGCG
rnacentral:tRNA from 1 species